rnacentral:tRNA from 1 species
UACCCUCGUGGUGUAAUGGAUAACACGUGAGAUUCCGGUUCUCAAGAUGGGAGUUCGAUCCUUCUCGGGGGUGU